UCCCGGGAAGCCCAAGCCCGCGCCGUCCGGCUCCCUCCAGUGGGCGCCCGCAGGACCCAGAAUCGAAGCGACCCUUUGCCCCGGGUUCCCAGGAGGCAUCGAAAUUGAGCUCGUCCACACAGCCCCCUGACUGCGUGGUACCUUUUCUGACUUAAAACAUUCCUUGCACCUUUAUUUACACGAUCGAAGUUGCAGUGUGCCUAGAAUUUCCUCCAAGGACAAAAAUGUGAAUAAAGCAAUAUUUUAGCCAAACAUUUCUGUGUCAAUUAAGAAAAUGGCAAUUCGUUCCAGACUAUAAAUUCUCUUUAACAACUCCCUAAGGUGUUCUUUAAAAUUGUUUUCAACGUUGCUAAAUGUGCAUCAUAAUGUGUGGGAGACUUGUAUAAGGUGGAUCAAUUUAUAGUCGGCUGGUUAAUUGAUCCAAUGUUACCACCUUCACCGAGGCGCCUUUCCAAUUGUUUUCUCGUUUUUUUUCCCCAGCACAUGUUAUUUGUUAGUGAGGAAGCUGCGUGCACGUGGCAUUGCAUAAAGUUUAUUAGACAGACCUGGCCUUUAAACUAGGAAAAGCUUAGUCUAGUCCUAAAUCUAAAAUUCAACAUUUCAGUAAGUUGUGGAACAAGAUACACAGGUUACUUUGAUGAAAUAGAAUUGAACAUAAUUUUUUUAAAAAAUGUUAAUCACAGGAAUAUUUUUUGAAGGCAUCCAGCAUCUGCAGUUAGCAGUACUGAUUUUCCCCCCCCCAACAAAGGAACACUACAUCAACACUCUUGGCGGGGAUCUGGACACAGAAGACUCAUUUCAAGAAAAUAUAAUCAUCUCUCAAAGGCUGUAAUUUAUAUGCAUUUUUAACUCACUAGGUAUUGAAAACCACCCGCGUCCCACAAUAGGGGGGUCAAAUAUAAUCAGUUGCUCAGUGUAAUAAUAUCCAUCCUUUAAAAAUGUUACUGGAAAAUGUCUUCUGAUCUGUAUGUCCAAAGAAUCCUCUCCCACUAUUUCUUUGUCCCUGCUGUUCCCCCAUACCCAGGCUUCUUUGUUCCAAUUGGCAUGUAAACCCAUUUUUCCCGCCAAAUGAGUCAGUCAUGAUGGGAACAUCAAUUGAUUUGAACAGAUGUGUGUCAAUGUUACUUGGAAAACUAGAUGCCAAUAACCAGGGCCUCAAAAAAAGGCAGUGGUUGCAACUAUAAAAUUUUAUGUGUGCACACAGACAAGGACUAGAGUGGAACCCCGAACAGGAAAACAGUUGGAUAUACUCCAGUGCUGGGAGAUUGAAUGAUUGUACGCUGCUCUUGAUUUCCGUUAAUAUGGGCAACUGCCCAAUUAAAAAAAAAA